GAAUUUCUGCGGAGUUCGUUACGGAAGGCAAGUAAUUGAGCCAACACCAAUUGAAAAGGGAGACCGAUGCUAUGUUCGGUGCGCCUUUAACUGCGAAAAGGAUGCUAAAGAACAUGGCUUUGAUGCGUUUUGUGCAAACAAAACGCAGAAGGUCACCCACCUGUUGAGAUGCAGGUUCAAUUGACGCUUCCGGACGGCUCAUGUGGUUUUCUU
rnacentral:other from 1 species